ensembl:lncRNA
AGCUGAACCUCCUUUUCAGGUAAAAUAGGCCAGUCCAAACCAGUUUGAGUGCAUGUGAAGCUCAGCAGCUUGGCUUAAUAAAAAGAGGAACAAAGAGCACUUCAGGAACAUGGUGAGUGAAUCUGAGCUGAUGUUUAUGAACGGUGUAAUUCUGCAUUUGAUAACGAGCAGUUCUGUCGGUUUUUACUGAAGCCUUAUCUGAAGGGGGUUGUGUGGGUGCAGCCAAUGAAUGGAGGAAGUUACCACUUUCCUGGUGUUUCCUCUGAAAUGAAGGUGUUGAUAGUGAGUCUACUCUUCUGGAAAGGCUUCUAGAUGUUGAAUGUUAAUAAUGUCAAUAAACAAAUACUACAUACAGACACUAUAAACACAAAGAACAAAGUAAAAACAGCAAUACUGCAGUUAUAUUCCACUGAUGAUGUUACCUGUAUAGAAUGCAGAGUAACAGUGUCAGAUAUAAAGGUAAUCUCAUUGUAAUGUGGCACCUGUGAGACGUCCAUCCCUGCAGGUAUACGUUUUGUUCAUGUGAUAAAUUUGCCAGUGUCUUAUUACCACGCAAUACAAGGGGCAGUUACAGUUUGGUGAUGGUGCAAUACUCUGACCUAACAAGGAUGUCCAACUGCACCACUCCCACUUGUUUAACCUGUUUGCUGUGAUUGGUCAAGCAGCCCCUCUUCCUGUCCUCUUCAGCCUGUGAGUAAUCUUCUACUGCUACAUCCUGUGGUGAUGAGCUAAUCCAGUCCAACCCGGUUAAAAGUGGAAUUUUUCAUUGGUGACUUUAUGAAGAGAAAGGAUCAGAAAUAGUCUUUGGUGAGAAAGAAAUUUCAACUGCCCAAAUAAAGUUACUGACUUGACCAAUAACUUUUCAGCUAGAAGAUGGAAGCUUCCACUCACACCGAUCCUGUCCCAACCAAGAUAACAGCUCAGACAGGGGGAAACAUCUGUGCUCCUCUUCUCCAUGGAAAUCAUUUUCAAGGCUCGGUUACAGUUGUGAACAUAACUGGAGGUCAGGAAGCUUCUAGUUUAAGUAUAAGCAAUGUUCAGGCUGAAGGCUCUCCCGAUGCUCCUGCUCUCAGUGAAGGUAAGGUGUAUGUGCAUUGCUUAGAAAAUAGUAUUCAACGGUCUUUGUUUUUAUGUUUUAUUAUCAUGGA